rnacentral:lncRNA from 1 species
UGUUGGGCCUCUUAUUCAUAUUGAUUGCAACCUUCACUUCAAUAAAAGUCCAAUUAAAAAAAAAAUAAAACCCCCAAAAAAAAUAUGUGGUCAGAAAUAUUUCGAUUAAAAGAAAAGGAAGAAGAAGUUGUGGCUGUGAAGAAGGUAGUGGAAUGUUAUCCUUUUCCUGUUCGUACACGUGGCAGCAUCUGAUGCGUGAGUCGGCGAGUGGCAUGACGUGGCAAAAAGCGCAGAGCAAAAAGUCGCAUUCACGCUCUUUCAUUUUGUUAGAGCCUCUAAUAAAUAGAUAGAUAUUUUAACAUCAGAAAUAUCCAAUUCUUUUAAAAUAAUAAUGAUAAUAAUAAUAAAUGCCGCCAUUUUAAUUUUAAUCAUUCAUUGUAAAUUUAUUAUCCCUGUCACAAUCAGAAAAUGAAAUUAUUGUAUCAGAGCAUCCACGUCAUUCUUUAAAUAUGGUAGAAAAAAAAUACUUACUUUUGUUGACUUCACAAUAAAUCUCUAUUACUAGUAAAAUAUGGAAAAUAAAGAGUUUAUUUACAUUGGUACAUUUCAAGGUUCUUUUUUUAGAUUUUUAGUGUCAUAAAUAAAUUGUCCGAACUAUAAAGUUUUCCAAAAUUAUAAUAAGUUAAUAAAGCAUAAAUGAAAAGGAAAACUUCUAUUUUGUGCUUCAAUUAUAUUUCAGUAAAAAUAAAGCAUUUUUGCCUAAAAAAGUAACCAUAACUUCACGAGAUAGACAAUCAGGAGAGUCAAUUUUGGAAACAACAAAGAAAAAAAACAACUUUCUAUAAAAGUUUGAUCAUUAAUUUAAAAUAUAUUUUGUAUAUAAAAAUAAUUUUUAUAAUUUAAAUUUUUUCUUGAUUAUAUCCUUAUUUUCACAAACCCUUCACAAAUUGUUUACAAUUAUAAAUAAAGAAAAUAGUUAAAAUUAAUAAAAGCAGACAGAGAGCAUAUUAGAACAGAAGCUAAUAAAUAAUGGCAUUUAUCGGUUUCGAUCUGUGGAAAAAAAACAUGGGCCACGCUUUAAUUGUGCACUGAGUGAGUGGACGCGUGGCAGUGCCUAACCCGCGAGUAGCGUGGUGCUUCACUUUCACCCGCGAGUGUGACGUGUCCGAAAUUAUCCACAGCACUUUUUCUUCGCCCACCGAAUUUAAAACACCAAUUUUUUUAGAGGGUCCAUGACCGUACGCCACGUGUCCUCGAAAACUUUCGACGAGAGCCACAAGAUUCCUUCGAAUUCUCGAGAUUUCGGUGUCGGAGGAAUAAGGGAAAAAUAAAGUUUCAAAAUUUCGUACGAGAAAAUAGAAGUUCAAAUCUUACGUGUCACUCCCUUGUUGCUCCUUUUCUUUUCGUCCAUCACAACAACAAUCACAAGAAGCACUUUCGGAGUCUGAGCUUUCACUCCUUUCCAACUUCUCCAUAUAUCUAUCUAUCUAUCUGCAACCUCUUAUCUUUCUUUCUCUGUUAAUUCACACCCAUCAAUAACUCUUUUCCUCACACAAUUAACCAUUUUCCUUUCUGGGUUUUCUGUAAUUUUGUUGAUUUUCCAUUCCUUUUAUAUAUUUUUUUUGCUUCUGCUGAGUUAGUGGUGUGGCUUAUGAGUUAUGAGCCCCUUUCUAUUAUAAAAAGAUUGGAAAUUUCUUAGGGGAAAGGUGUGCGGUGGGUGGAUUUCUAUCCAUGCAGUUGUUGAUUGAGGAGGGGUUAGUUUGUUUUCUGCGAUCAUCGUUUGGUAGUGCUUGAACACAGGAUUUGUAGAUGAUGGAGAGGGUUCUGUUUUGUUUUGUGAUUCUGAGAUGUGAAUUAGUGGUUGGUGAAGUGAAGAAUCAAGGCAGUGUUUGUAUGAUAAAUUGACUUUUGGAUCAAGGUGGGUCCAUUGUUGUACACAAUUUGUUUGGUUCUGUUUCUAGCUUUCGAAGGGAGAGUUGUUUGAGUUGUACUUUUCUUAUUUGGGAUUUGUAUUCAGAAAGAGAAGUUUUAUUACACCUAGGUUGUGAUCUGAUUGUGAGUGAGGGAAGCAAUAUCCAACGGUGAAGUCGUGGAAGUUUGCAACUGCGAAGAGGAGCAGAAGAUCUAGAUCAGUGAUUUGGUUUCUGAAGCUAUGGCGAUUCGAGUAUGUAAUACAUAAGUUUCAGUCAGCUAUGUUUUCCUUUUAUAUGAAUUUUUUGAUACUAAACUCAUAUUUGUAAGGGGUGGCUGAGAUUGUGGUUCAAUUUCAAUGUUGAUUGUAAUCUUUUUGGGUGGAAAAGAGAGAACCUUAAUUGCGUUUUGGUUUCUCAUGAACGGUUGAAUUUACACACCUAAAAAGGAUUUGAAUGCUUCCCUUGGGGAAACAGUUAUUAGAAGGAGACCUGCUUAACCUAUUGUGAAUGACACUUGUUCAUGUCUUUAUCAAAAGAGUUGUUUCCUUCAAAUAUUUCUUAGGUGUUGUCGCUACUUGUCUUCUUCUGGAGUGAAAGAUUCGCUUGAAACAUUUCUGAUUCCUUAGAUGACAAAUAAUUUUGGCCUGGUUGGCCACUAUAUAUGUGAAAAAUUUGGGGUUCUUUUGAUGAUUAUAAUUCCUUAUAUUUCUUUUCUCUUUGAAUUGAAUGUAGGAUCAGAAUGGAUUUAACAGAUCACAGGAUGAUCCUUCAGUAGGAAGUGGUGUAUCUUUGAGUUCUGGGGUGCAUUCUGCUCCACAUAUUCAACUUAAUGAGCAGUUUUCUUGUGGGAGUGACUACGCUCUGAAGGUUCUACCUGAAUUCUUGAAUUAUUAGCACUUGCAUGUUAUGAUUCUUCUCUUUUCCUUCUGUUAAGGUCUUGUUUGUUUUAAUCAGUUUUCUUUCUUCUUCAACAGGUAAGGAAACCAUAUACUAUCACAAAACAGAGAGAGAGGUGGACAGAUGAAGAACAUAAGAAGUUCCUUGAAGCUUUAAAGCUUCAUGGUCGGGCUUGGCGGCGUAUUGAAGGUAUUAUUAAUUAAGAGCCUGAAUAUCUUGGGCAAGAAUUUGUGCGCGAUGUAUGAGUAAUGAACAAGUGUGAUUGUGUUUGAGAUACUUUAUUUUGACAACAGAACAUGUUGGCACAAAGACUGCUGUUCAGAUUCGAAGUCAUGCUCAGAAGUUUUUUUCUAAGGUUUACUGCUCUAUUCUAAUAAUCAUUCUGAGUCAUGUUUUCUACUUACCAUAAACCAUACAUCAGGCAAGUUAAGAUUUUGAUGAUCCUAGGAUAUUAAAAACGCUAAGGGUUCAUCUGUUAUCCUUGAAUUCACUCUAAUUACUUUGUCUUUACUUUUCAUGGCAGGUUCUUCGCGACCCUACUGGGAAUGUUACAAAUAGAGCGGAGUCAAUUGAAAUUCCUCCUCCAAGACCAAAACGAAAGCCAAUGCAUCCUUACCCUCGUAAACUAGUUGAGACUCCUAAUAAAGAAUCUUCUUCAAUCCCAGAACAACUUAUGAAGUCUGCUUCUCUGAAAUCAUCAGAUUUUGAUCAAGAAAACCAAUCUCCGAAAUCAGUAUUAUCAGGAGCUGGUUCAGACAUCCUUAGCUCCUCAGAUUCAGACACACCAAAUGAAAGUUUGUCCCCCAUGUCAUCCAUCAGCGACAUCCAUACAACAUCCGAAGAAGCUGGAAUAAACGCUGAUUCUUCUCAUGAUGAGAAAUCUCUCAUGGUAUACUUCCUAAUCUUUAUUGAUUACAAUAUCAUCACCAGAGAGUCUUGACAAAAUGAUAUAUGACCUUAUAUUAUUGUUUGAUCUCAUUAUCUAGAAAUUAAAGCUUCCUACAAAGGAAAGUGAAGAAUGUUCCGGCCAGACUUUGAAACUCUUUGGGAUUACAGUUUUUGUAACAGAUACAUGCAAACCCUCUUCUCCAACAACUGAAGCAUGCAAACCAAUACCUGUAAACAUAUGCAAGAGGGAUGGAAGAUUGGAACUUAUUGGGCACAUUUCACCCAGUGAAACAUCAGGCAUAUCCCUACUAAAGGUGAGAGAGGGUCCUGAAACAUGUGGUGGGAAAGGAUUUGUGCCAUAUAGAAGGUGCAUGGCAGGGAGAGAAAACCAGUCUUCAUCUGUGACAAAUGAUACUAGAGAAGAGCAAUGCAUCCACCUUUCCUUGUAGCUUUACCCCAGAUGGUUUUUCCUUCAAAAGGUGUUCCCUUUGAGAUGAUGAGCUGUUGAAUGUGAGUUGGCAUGACAAGUGGAAAAGGGGGUAGCUGAAAAUUUUGACAUUUCUGUUGCAUCGCACAUUCUCCGGCAGUCGUAAACCUGUCAUUUUGUAUUUUUUUUUUUUGACUUUCAAGUUUCAACUGUGAAUUAUAUCUAGUGUUUUUAUUUUCCAACCUUUUACGCUCCGUAUGAGCACGGAGAGUGUAAGUUACAUACUUGUGCCGUGCUUAUGAACCUACUUGUUCAUAUUCUCUAAAGCUUAGAAAGAUGGAAAAUUUUCAAACAUAUAUAUUUUGAGAAUUUCAGAGCAAUAUUGUCGGGACUAGGAUAUGUUGGUGACCAAAUGAGUUGUGGGGGCUAAGAAAAUAUAUUUGAAAUUAUAUAGAGAAUUAAUGGUUAAAAUCCUCAUACAGUCUUCUAUAAUAUUCGUAGAGAAUCUCGAUUUGUUUCUCUUGUUUUCAAUUGAAAAUCUCAAUUUGUUUUUCUUAUUUUAAAUUGUCUCAAUUGAGUUUUUAAUUUUAAAAAUGUGUAACAAAUAAGUUUUAAAAAGAUAGUGUUUACGUGGUACAUAAUUUACAUGAUUACGUCGCAACGCAACUCAACUGUGAGACAAACAAGCAAUUCUCCGAACUUCUUUUGAUAAGCAAUUUUAUUUCCCUCAAAUUUACAAACCAAACCAAAAGUCCAUCAUCACGUUAAGUCUCCCAUGGUCGCAACUUAUUAGCACCUACAUUGUCUGGAUUUUCACAAUCAUUACUAACAACCAACAAGAAUCCAGAGUAGCAAAGAACAAAAACCAAAAAAAAAUAUAUAUAUCCCAAAACCGAUUCCUAAUCUCGAGCCAUAAGAAAAAAAAAAUCUCAAAAUUCAAGAUCAUGAACACAAUACACAUAUAACAAAAAUUACAAUUUACAAGUAAGAAACCUAAACCCACACAGAAGAAAAAGAGAAAACUCUUUCUCAAGUCGUGACACAUCAUAGGACCAAAACAAAGGGGAACUAGAGAAAGGGGAAGACGAAAACCUGAAAAAACUCCUCAAUCGCAAAGUCAGAAAAAACUCCAAAUUGAACCCUAUUCCAAGUCGUGAAGACGAUAUUAACGUGAUACCUAUCCUACCGCGAGGAUGGAGGUUGUGUAACGGAGAUGACUUAUUUC